rnacentral:rRNA from 1 species
UACGUAGGGUGCAAGCGUUGUCCGGAAUUAUUGGGCGUAAAGAGCUCGUAGGCGGUCUGUCGCGCGGCUGUGAAAACCCGAGGCUCAACCUCGGGCCUGCAGUCGAUACGGGCAAACUAGAGUACUGCAGGGGAGACUGGAAUUCCUGGUGUAGCGGUGGAAUGCGCAGAUAUCAGGAGGAACACCGAUGGCGAAGGCAGGUCUCUGGGCCGAAUUACUGACACUGGAGAAGCGGAAAGCAUGGG